UACGUAGGGUGCGAGCGUUGUCCGGAAUUACUGGGCGUAAAGCGCGUGUAGGUGGCUUGUUACGUCUGCUGUGAAAUGUCCCGGCUUAACCGGGACUAGGCGGUAGAUACGGGCAGGCUAGAGGGUGACAGAGGAGCGUAGAAUUCCGGGUGUAGUGGUGAAAUGCGUAGAGAUCGGAGGAAUACCAGUGGCGCAAGCGGCGCUCUGGGGUCGAAGCCUGACAC
rnacentral:rRNA from 1 species